ACCGUCCUUAUCUUGGGGUUGCGCGGCCGCCCGAUGAACGCGUGGUGAGGGCGGCCCUGCUAACGCCGGGCAACACGCGCAGCGCCCGCCGUGCGCGGGGCGCAAUUUUUGGAACC